CCUAUAGAUCAGUGCGAGAGACCAGAUAGAUUCAGUGUGCUUAAUGCACUGGGGCUUGUGGGUGUGGACUUGCUGUGUGGCUUUUUUUGCACCCAGGAGGGAACACACCCUUCCCGUGUCAGUGGGUGAUAGAGGGCUUCACGGAGCUGGGGGCUGUGAAGUGUAAAAUUCACUUUUUCCUUUAGAAAAGGAGAAACAUGUCAAGCAGACUUUGUCUAAGUCAUCUGAGAUGUGUUUUCCUAUCUGCCUUUAUUACCUGUAUUUAAGAACUGCCUGAGUUUACAGGCUCAAGGUACUUUUUGAGGAACCCCCCUCAUGUCUGAGGCAUCAACUUAAGCCCCAUACAGAUGCCAGGCAAGCCAGAUGCCAAAACCCUGAUUUCUCCAGGCUUGCCUGGCCUGAGCCUAGCCUAGCCUACCAGCUGGGUGUGCACAGCCUAUCCAAGUCUUCCUUUUUGAUGCCCACCCCCAAACCUCCUCCUGCCAUCCUGUUUUUCCCUUUAAUCUUCCCACUUCCAAAUUACUUUCAAGCAUUUUACACUUUAAAAUUUCCUGACUUUUGUUUUUAACCUUCAUGGGCCUUUUGUGAAAGGCCUCUCAGGGAGUGGGAACGUGGUUUCCUAGGACUUAAGAGUCGCUCUCAGAGGUCAGAACCUUGGAGAUCAUGACUAUUUCUCACCAGGUGUAUCAGAGCACUGUGCCCCCAUCCCCGCCUGCAAGGGAGCAACAUCAAAGCCUCUGGACAGAGGUCUGUCUGCUGUGGUCUGUCCACACACACUCUGGACCAUUGUGCUAAGUCCCCUCCCCUGAUGGGGAGCCACACUAGACUGGCCCAGGCUCCUGGACUCCUGAGCUAGCCCUAUGUGCUCAUGGGUCUUGAAUGUCUGAGGUCCAGACCAGCUACUGUGGAGCUGGAGUACUCAUUCAUGGUCAAACCGCUGGCUUGUGCAG
rnacentral:lncRNA from 1 species